CUCUGCUUCAGUCAAAUAAAAGCCAUCCAAGGAAGGAAAAGAGAAAGGAAGAUGGACCGAAUUCAGAAAUUUAAUUUCCCAAAAAUUCAGAAUCAAAAUAUUAAAUCCUAAUUUGACCCGGAGUCUUUGCUAUUUGCUGGUCCUUUUCCUUUUGCGAUUUGCUGUCCAUCUGAAUUAAUUCUAACACAACUUUCCAAGAUUGAAGAUUGGAGAAGAGCUUUAUUUAUUUAUAGCUCUAAAUUUGGCAAAAGAGCAACCGAGAAUUGAGUUAACACACACAAUUUUUUUAUGAUCUGUUUGGGAACAACAGCGAUUAUAGAAACUAGAAUUCUGGUGUUUCAUGUGAAGAAGAGAAACAGCCAUAGAAAACCAAAGCAGCUAUUCAUAGAAGAAGCGGAGGUCCAAUCCCAAUCCCAAACCCAAUUCAAGUCAUCGUCUUCGUCGUCAGCAUCAUCAGCAUUACUGCUGCUUCACACCAGAAGAUCAAGCCUCAAACCGAAACACCAAAUGGCGGCGGAGCGAGGCAACGAUGCGUCGUCGUCUUUGAUCUUAACUUCUGGGGCAAGUGGCCGCAUAAACGCCUUGUUCUCGCUGCGGGCGUUGCGGAGUCUGAUGAUGCUGAUUAAUGCCUUCUUCCUGCUCCUCCUGCUUCCCUUCCGCGGCCGCAAGCGAACGGCGUCGUCCUCCUCGUCUUCUUCUCCAUCGAUCAUUGCCUUGGCGGAGAAGUCGCCCAAGGACGAGAGGCAGCAGAGGGGGCCGGUAGUGCGGGUGCCGACGGCGAUUGUGCCCUGGAAGAGCAGCUCGUCGUCGCCGGUGGACCAGGAGGUGGCGGCAAGGAGAGCUUUAGCCAAGCUUAGAGUUGUCCAAGAUGAUGAUGAGAAUUCGGUCAGGCAAUUUUCCAUUUUUGGAACUCCAAGAGGUGAAACCCUUUUCACGCAGAGUUGGACUCCCGUUUCGGUUAACGUCAGGGGCGUUGUCAUUCUUAUGCAUGGCUUGAACGAACAUAGUGGCAGAUACAGUGACUUUGCAAAGCAGCUGAAUUCUAAUGGCUUCAAGGUUUAUGGAAUGGAUUGGAUUGGUCAUGGUGGGAGUGAGGGGCUUCAUGCAUAUGUUCCUUCUCUUGAUUAUGCUGUUACGGAUAUGAAAUCAUUUCUUGAAAAGGUUUUAGCUGAAAAUCCUGGCCUACCAUGUUUCUGUUUUGGACAUUCCACAGGUGCAGCUAUUAUACUUAAGGCAAUGCUUGACCCAAAAGUUGAGUCCAGCAUAGAAGGUGUGGUGCUGACAUCACCUGCAGUUGGGGUUCAGCCUUCGCAUCCAAUAUUUGUGGUAAUUGCUCCAAUUGCCUCAUUUUUGCUUCCAAGAUACCAGAUAAGUGCAGCAAAUAAAAAGGGCAUGCCCGUUUCUCGUGAUCCAGCGGCUCUAGUUGCCAAGUAUUCAGACCCUCUAGUGUACACUGGAUCAAUCCGUGUGAGGACUGGUUAUGAGAUUCUCCGAAUCACAUCCUACUUGCAGCAGAAUCUAAGCAAAUUGAGAGUCCCCUUCUUGGUUCUCCAUGGCACCGCUGAUACUGUUACUGACCCUGAAGCCUCCCAGAAACUGUACAAUGAAGCCUCCUCAACUGACAAAAGCAUAAAAUUGUUUGACGGGUUAUUACAUGACCUCCUCUUUGAGCCAGAACGAGAAGCUAUUGCCAAGGACAUUAUCGACUGGUUGAAUCAGAGAAUAUGAAGCUAGGUAGUCUAGUGGGAGAUCAAGAUUGAUAAGUUGUGGGACAGAAGGAAAUUGGGUACGAGUGACCAUUUUAUGGAUGCUAGAUGCUUUGCAUUGAAGCAGAAGAUAGAAAAUCUUAUGUGGCGGAAUAAAUUCAGCUUAUUGUGUUGAAACUUGAAACCUAACAAUGUGUUCUUCUUCAAUAUUUAAGACAUUAUCUGCAGUUGUAAAGGAGUGCCUCCUUAACAGUUUAUCUCUUCAUUUUCCUUGGAAAGAUGGGGUUGCUUGCUGGUCUGAAGCAUUUUCCUAUCAUAAUUGUUGGCUGGCAGACCAAUGGCCGUGAUCAGGUACAUGAUCCCACCAUAGCUGCUUCGCUUCGCUGAUGAUAAAGCAUGAUUGGGUUUCCUCAAUCCACAGUUAGAAUUUUGUGUUGUUUUCUCUACCUAGUUUUAACGGGUGAAGCAAAUUCGUAUAUUUAAACUUUCAAGGGAGGUCACCAAACAUUUUAGCUGUGGGUUAUAAUUAACAUGUAUUUGUUAAGGGGGUGAAUGAUUUAUGCCCCCACAAACCCAAGAAUUUUUUAUUUUCUUUUCUUCUCCGCUUCCAAUUGUUUAAGGGAGGUUUUCAACUUUAUCAAACUGGGCCAUAUGAAGUUAUCAACUUA